GACGAACCGUGCGAACGUUGUUCGGAAUCACUGGGCUUAAAGGGCGCGUAGGCGGGCUGCCAAGUCCGUAGGUGAAAUCCCCCGGCUCAACCGGGGAACGGCCUCGGAUACUGGCGGCCUGGAGGGGGGUAGGGGCGUGCGGAACUGUGGGUGGAGCGGUGAAAUGCGUUGAGAUCCACAGGAACUCCGGUGGCGAAGGCGGCACGCUGGACCCUUUCGUGA
rnacentral:rRNA from 1 species